rnacentral:rRNA from 1 species
AUACAGAGGGUGCGAGCGUUAAUCGGAAUUACUGGGCGUAAAGCGCGCGUAGGCGGCUUAUUAAGUCAGAUGUGAAAUCCCCGGGCUCAACCUGGGAACUGCAUCUGAUACUGGUAAGCUAGAGUUUUGGAGAGGGAAGUAGAAUUUCAGGUGUAGCGGUGAAAUGCAUAGAGAUCUGAAGGAAUACCAGUGGCGAAGGCGACUUACUGGCCAAAAACUGACGCUGAGGUGCGAAAGCGUGGGUAGCGAACAGGAUUAGAAACCCUAGUAGUCC